CAUAGCUCAGUGGUAGAGCACGUGCUUAGCAUGCACGAGGUCCUGGGUUCAAUCCCUAGUG
rfam:Camelus ferus unplaced genomic scaffold scaffold15685, whole genome shotgun sequence.